rnacentral:rRNA from 1 species
UACGAAGGUGGCAAGCGUUGUUCGGAAUCACUGGGCUUAAAGCGCAUGUAGGCGGCUCCGCAAGCGUCUUGUGAAAUCCCCCGGCUCAACCGAGGAAUUGCUGGGCGAACUGCGGAGCUUGAGGCAAGUAGGGGUGCGUGGAACUCUUGGUGGAGCGGUGAAAUGCGUAGAUAUCAAGAGGAACGCCGGAGGCGAAAGCGGCGCACUGGGCUUGUCCUGACGCUGAGAUGCGAAAGCUAGGGGAGCAAAC